CCUACGGGAGGCAGCAGUGAGGAAUAUUGGUCAAUGGACGAGAGUCUGAACCAGCCAAGUAGCGUGAAGGAUGACUGCCCUAUGGGUUGUAAACUUCUUUUAUAAAGGAAUAAAACGAGGCACGUGUGCCUUUUUGCAUGUACUUUAUGAAUAAGGAUCGGCUAACUCCGUGCCAGCAGCCGCGGUAAUACGGAGGAUGCGGGCGUUAUCCGGAUUUAUUGGGUUUAAAGGGUGCGUAGGCGGGCUGUUAAGUUAGCGGGAAAAGCCCGGGGCUCAACCCCGGCGAGCCGUUGAAACUGGCUGGCUUGAGAUGUCGAGAGGUAUGCGGAAUGCGCAGUGUAGCGGUGAAAUGCUUAGAUAUUGCGCAGAACUCCGAUUGCGAAGGCAGCAUACCGGCGGCGAUCUGACGCUGAGGCACGAAAGCGUGGGUAUCGAACAGGAUUAGAUACCCUUGUAGUC
rnacentral:rRNA from 1 species